GACGAACCGUGCGAACGUUGUUCGGAAUCACUGGGCUUAAAGGGCGCGUAGGCGGACCACACAGUCGGGGGUGAAAUCUUUCAGCCCAACUGGAAAAGGGCUUCCGAUACUGGUGGUCUCGAGGGAGGUAGGGGUCGAGGGAACUAAUGGUGGAGCGGUGAAAUGCGUAGAUAUCAUUAGGAACGCCGGUGGCGAAAGCGCUCGACUGGACCUCUUCUGACGCUGAGGCGCGAAAGCCAGGGGAGCAAACGGG
rnacentral:rRNA from 1 species